AAUAAGUGCAGUUUUGCACUAUUCAUGUUCAACGUUUGACCGUCCGUCUUAUUUGAAAAUUUUUUAUGAUUAGUAUUUUUAUUGCUAUUAGAUGAUGAAACAUGAAUAGUACUUUAUGUGUGACUAAAUGUUUUUAAUUUUUUCACAAAUUUUUCAAAUAAGACGGACGGUCAAACGUUGAACGUAAAUAGUGCAAAACUGCACUUAUU
rnacentral:pre_miRNA from 1 species